rnacentral:rRNA from 1 species
GAUGAACGCUGGCGGCGUGCCUAAUACAUGCCAGUCGAGCGAACAGAUGAGGAGCUUGCUCCUCUGACGUUAGCGGCGGACGGGUGAGUAAAACGUGGAUAACCUACCUAUAAGACUGGGAUAACUUCGGGAAACCGGAGCUAAUACCGGAUAAUAUAUUGAACCGCAUGGUUCAAUAGUGAAAGACGGUUUUGCUGUCACUUAUAGAUGGAUCCGCGCCGCAUUAGCUAGUUGGUAAGGUAACGGCUUACCAAGGCAACGAUGCGUAGCCGACCUGAGAGGGUGAUCGGCCACACUGGAACUGAGACACGGUCCAGACUCCUACGGGAGGCAGCAGUAGGGAAUCUUCCGCAAUGGGCGAAAGCCUGACGGAGCAACGCCGCGUGAGUGAUGAAGGUCUUCGGAUCGUAAAACUCUGUUAUUAGGGAAGAACAAAUGUGUAAGUAACUAUGCACGUCUUGACGGUACCUAAUCAGAAAGCCACGGCUAACUACGUG